rnacentral:rRNA from 1 species
UACGAAGGGGGCUAGCGUUGCUCGGAAUCACUGGGCGUAAAGCGCACGUAGGCGGAUUGUUAAGUCAGGGGUGAAAUCCUGGAGCUCAACUCCAGAACUGCCUUUGAUACUGAAGAUCUUGAGUUCGGGAGAGGUGAGCGGAACUGCGAGUGUAGAGGUGAAAUUCGUAGAUAUUCGCAAGAACACCAGUGGCGAAGGCGGCUCACUGGCCCGAUACUGACGCUGAGGCACGAAAGCGUGGGGAGCAAACAGG